AGUACUGAUAAGGAGCCAAUUAUUUUUAAUAGAAUAUAUACCUACUAAACUUAACUUCUCAAACUCUAGGCAUUUACAGAUCCAUUUGUAUACGUCUCCUGGUCCAGAAAGUCUGACCCUUUGUCCCCAAACUUGAGUGAACCCUAUGUGUUCUCACAGCACCAGGGACUUACUCUAGUGUAGCAGGACUUUUGGUACUUACAUGUUUCUCCUAGACCAUGUGUUACCUGUAGGACUAUGUCUCAUUCAUUUCAGUGUCCUCAGCACCUUAAGCCAUGCCUAAGAAAUAUUUAUUGAAUGAACAUUUGAAUGACUCUUUCAAAACUGAUUAUUUUUGGGAAUAUAUAUUUCCAUGUUCCCUGAUACUAUGGAUUUGGGCAAAAUGAACUAUAAUGAAAUCCAUCCUACUGAUUUGUUUAUUUCUACAAUCGCUGCUCCCAAUGUGACUUUCUGGGCCAAGAUCACAUGAUCUUCUGACUGGCCUGCUACACACCCAGGUGAACAGCAACGAUGUAGAAGUUCCCUCCCUAACAAAUGGAGGAGCUUGGAGGUGUAGCAAGUCAAGGCCAUGUAUAUAACUCCUCAGUAUUAAAUUUCAAUGUAACCAGGAGUUUCCAUUAUUUUAUGUUCUUGGAAUUGGGGUCAUUUUUGCAAUAUGCUUUAAAAUAAAGUGGUGUAUUAUAACGAAGAUUUUGAACCAAAACUCAAACAGCCUUUCAUUCAAAAGGGCUGGAAUACAGCCCCAUCUUCUACAGAGGUAUAGAAUUCAGGGGCCAUUGAGUCAGCACAGAAAUGUCCACAUUCUCUCUAAUGUUCUUUUUCAUUUUCAAAAUCUCAAUGCUGAAAAACUUGCACACUGGCAGAACUUCUGCAGAGCAAGACUCAGAUAACCCAUCCUUGUUAAUAUGACUCAUAUUUGCCCAUUUCUCACUAAUAUGACUCAUGCUAAAAUGGGCCAUUAAUAAUACUCCCUGAAAAGCAAAUUUAAAGGUGACUACAUUUUAGAUUAUAUAUGCACACAUGUACAACAAUCCCUAAGGGCUUUUAAAGGUGGAGAGAGAAAACAUUUCCAUUUGCAAAUGGCAGAAGGGGCUCUGUUCCAACAUUUGAAAAAUAAAUCAUAUUUAAAACUAGGGCCAGACUUGGAAAAUUGCUACAAAGAAUGAGUUUUUUGGGAAAGGUAUCACACUGAAAAAACCACUACAGAAAUCCAUAUGGGGUAUCUUUGUGUUUCUUCCCUUAAGAUUUUAAGGCUUAUGUAUUGGAGUAAAGGCUCCUAUUACUUUUGAGAUGCAUUUGGUCCUGGUUUUACUUUCAGGAUUGAAUAAGUGGAAACUGUCCAGAUUAAACAGAAUUGAAUCAUAGGUACUGGACACCGAGGUAUGACUGACUAAAUUAAGUGGGCUUUAGGCAAAAGACAGAUGGUUUAACCAUCUCAUAAUGCCAGAGCUUUGAACUAACUGGGUACAUAGCGAUGACAUUAUUAAAUUGAUACUGUACUAUAAAAUAAAGAUAAAUGAUACCCUUUUUUGUAUUUAGGAAGAAUUAAAAUACUGAUGAUUGGCCAACCUAAGCCUAACUUUGGUAUCCAUAGCAAAAGUAGUGUCCAUACAUGUUCAGGCAACACAGGUUGAUUUGUUCAGGGGUCUCGAUGCCAGCAUUUUUCAGCACAUUGAGGCUUUCCUUAAUGGUUACUGGAGUUCACAUAGAAUGCUGGUUUCCAGGCUCAGGCUGUCUGGUACCUAUCAUAUGAAGAUCCCUCAGCCAAUGGAUAGCUAUUUGGGAUAGAACCCAUUGGUGGAGGAGCCCAUGGUCCAAGAACAAAUGUCCAAAUUUUGGUCCCUGCUUUUGUAAUCCAAGGUGUCUUGCUGCCUGUGGCUGUAUCUUCUUCUAAAGACUGAAGCUGAGAAGAAGGCUUGGUUUCCUCCCUUGGCUGCCCCCAAGACUACUGUUGCCACAGCACUCAGUGCCAACUGGACAAAGGAAUUCUUGAGAUAGCCUUCAAGUGCUUCUUAGGACUGCAGUGCCUAGACAAGCUGACUCUGACCAGUGGUUUCAGGCUCAGCUAUACGUAGGCCUCAGCAGCUUGUAACAGUUUCCAUCUCCAGGCCACACCCCAGGAAGAAAUGGUGAAGGCAGACAGCUUUGUAGAUUUAGAAGGGUGCUUCUUUCUUCCCUUUCUAUUGGUUUUCCCCAGAGAAGACUACGUGUGGAUAUCUACUAUAAAACAUGUGUGCAUGGAAAAUUGUAGGGCCAGAUGCUUCUGGAUUAAGAGAACAUGACCAGAUCUGGAGAAGGAGCAGCUGGGAGGAGGAGCCUGACUUUCUUAGCAAAACCAGUUCCUUUGCUUUCCCAUGUGGUUGGCCUCAGCCUUGUCUUUUAAGUUAAGUGAUGGGGCUAAAAAAAGUAAUGAGCCCCAGGAAGACCUGGGGUCCAGUCCCUGAUCUGCCACUUCAUUGCCUCACAACCUUGGGGAAGUCAUUUAUCCUCUCUGAGCCUCAGUUUCCUCAUUUGCAAAUUUCAAAUAACCAUCCUUCUGUAACUGACAAGGUUGUUGUAAGACUAUAAAGCACAUGUUAUUUUAUUUGUGUCUAUAUAAGGAAUAAUUAUUAUUGAGCUGCAUCAUAUGAAACUUCAAUUUUUGAAAGUCAAAAACAGUCAAACGUUGGUAAUUUUAAAUCAUUUGCUACUAUUUCAAGUAAAAGGAAACCCUGCAGAUGGUGCUUAUGCCAGAGGAGAGAAUAUUAUCCAGGGGGCAAUGGAAAGCUUCUGAAUGAGUUGUAUAAAUUGUUACAGGACUAUAAUAGAGAGAAAGAAUAGGCUUAAGUAUUAUCUUAGACAUGCACAGACAUUCCCAUGAUGGCUGAAUGUUCCCAUUUUAGCUGGAUGCUUAGUUUUGCACAAUUGUAGAGAAAAUCAACAAAAUAGUUUGUCAUCUCUUUUAACGUUCUGGGGUAGCCUCGAUGAAAACCUAGAGCAGUCGUUCUUGACCUUGUCUGUAAGUUAGGAAACACUGGGAAGCUUUAAAAAAAUCUUAACCCCCCAUAUCCAGAUCAAUUAGAUGACCAUUUCUGGGUGUUGGGGGCUGAAUUUCACCCUCUCAAAAUUCAUACACUGAUGUCCUAAUCCCCUGUACUUCAACAUGCCAACCAAAACCUGCCAGCACCUUAAUCUUGGACUUUCAGCCUCCAGAACUGUGAGAAAAUAAAUUUCUGAUUUUUAAGCCACCUAUUCUGUGGUAUUUUGUUAUGGUAUUCCUAGCAAAUUAAUACAGAUUUGCAGAAUGGGAUGUGACAUCAGGAAUUUUUCAGGCAUCCCAUGUGAUUUUAAGGGGCAGCCAAGAUUGAGAACCACAAGCCUAGCAGAAGAGAAAGAGGCCCAGGGUCAAGAUGAGUGAACAUGGGGAAAAAUCAUGAAUGCUGUCAGUUACUUUCUAAAUACUGGUUAUCAUUAUCUUUCAUCCCUAGUGUGGCACCAUCAGUCACAAAAUCUCUUAAGUUUCCACUUACGUCUAGUUACAAUAUGCAGUUAGCUAAUGUACCACCCAGAAAACACCACAGGGUAACAGUCUGUGCCGUGAGAUAGUGACCUUUUAAAGGCACUUGAUGGGUAUGUGGGUUGGGUUCUCUCCCUCUGCCAGCAUUUCUACAGCUACUCCAAAGAGCAGUGAAUGCCUCAGAAAAGGGUCUCAUCCAAAUCCCAAGGGUGCCCCCUGCUGGAAAAGGUGUAGAAAUCAGCCCACAGAGCCCAGUAAAUACUGCUCAAGUUCAGUUUCUUUGAGAGGGAUUCUCAGAAUGUCAGUGCUGGAAGUUACCAUAGAUGGAAUGAAUCUCCCUCAUUUAUCAAAUGACGAAGAUGAAAUCCAUAUCAGGUAAGCAACUUGAAUAAAAUUACGUGGCUCUUAGUCUCUCUAUUGGAAGCUGAGCUCAGGAGACAGGAAUGAUUUCUAGAAGCUCAUUUAAACAAACAAGCAAAAAAACAAACUUGUUCCCCUGAAGAUAUGGGAAGAAAAAUGAAAAGAAUACAAGUGCUUAGUUGUGGUUUAUACAGCUCCAAAUCUAAAAUAGCUGUUUAAUAUUCUAUAUAAUUAACAGACUUUGAACUUACGGCAUAUAGAUAAAAGAGUGACUUCAUCAUCAGUCUAAAAUAGGAUUUGCAUAGAUAUAAAAUAAAAUAUGCUUUAUGAGAUUAAUCUAUUAAUCUGUUAUAUGAGAUUAAUCUAUAAUAAAAAUGCAUCUCAAAUUGGUUAGCCUAUGUUGAAGUACUUUGAAAAGUAUA
rnacentral:lncRNA from 1 species